rfam:Ovis aries breed Texel chromosome 8, whole genome shotgun sequence.
UCCCUGGUGGCUCAGAUGGUAAAGCGUCUGCCCAAAAUGCGGGAGACCCAGGUUCGAUCCCUGGGUUGGGAA